rfam:Candidatus Taylorbacteria bacterium RIFCSPHIGHO2_01_FTLL_51_15 rifcsphigho2_01_scaffold_1369, whole genome shotgun sequence.
CCGCCCUUAGCUCAAUGGUGGAGCGAGCGUCUUAUACACGCUAGGUUCUUGGUUCGAAUCCAAGAGGGCGGA